ACUGUUCAGCCGCUGCUGUGGGCAGGCCCCGUGCUGGGCCUGCGCAGGCCACAGGCCAGGAGAGACAGACGGACGCACAGCCGCAGCCAGCAUCCUCCACUGAAGCUCAGGCAGGAGGGCUGGAGUGUUGUGCAACCAUCACCUCUAUCUGAUUCUGGAACAUUCUCGUCACCCUCAAGAGAAACUUUGUACCCAUCAGCAGUCACGCCCCACUCCUCCUGCCCCAGCCCCCGGCAACCACUGGUCUACUUUCUCUUUCUCUCGAUUUGCCUGUUUUGGACACUUCAGGAAACGAUGGUGACUCUAGAUGAAAGUCUUAAAUGAAAUGUCCCUGAUGGGGAGAAACAGAGUUCGCAGCCCUAAAAGGACUCCCAAACCUUGUCUUCUCCCCUGACCCGGAAGCCAUGGGGCUGACGAACUGGCAGAUCCUGUUCAGCUGUGACAUUAUUGACAGCAGGGCGCCUUCCUGUUUCAUUAGAGUUGUAUGGCCACAGUGUUUUCAGGAAUAUGCAUCUGGGUGGAGAAGGAGAUUCCCAGCCCAUGGGGAAAUAGACAUUCCUUGUGCCCACCUUCCCCACCCUGGGGGCAGCUCUGUGCCCGGCCAGGCUGGGAAGGAGAAGGGUGAUUAUAGCCACUGAGUCAUGGAGAUGUGGGGAGGUCAGGCCUGCUGGGUUCACCUGUGCACCUUGUUCCCUGCCAGGGAUUUGCUGACUCAGAAUAACAAGAAAGGACAGUUGUCAACUGCCACACUGUGGUUCCCAGAUAAGCUUAGGUCUCAGGCCAUCUGGAAAUGGGCUUGGGGCAGGGUGGUGGGAAGGUGAUAAGAAAGUGGCCCCAUUGGAUGUAUUAACAAUUAUGUGCACAGAGAGUUGACUGUAACAGUGAUAUAAUAAAGCAAAUCAAAAAUUUUGAAAAA